rnacentral:rRNA from 1 species
AAUCAACGCUGGCGGCGUGCCUAACACAUGCAAGUCGCACGAGAAAGGGACUUCGGUCCUGAGUACAGUGGCGCACGGGUGAGUAACACGUGACUAACCUACCUCCGAGUGGGGAAUAACCUAGAGAAAUCUGGGCUAAUACCGCAUAACACUUACGAGUCAAAGCAGCAAUGCGCUUGGAGAGGGGGUCGCGGCAGAUUAGUUAGUUGGCAGGGUAAUGGCCUACCAAGACGAUGAUCUGUAUCCGGCCUGAGAGGGCGCACGGACACACUGGAACUGAAACACGGUCCAGACUCCUACGGGAGGCAGCAGUGGGGAAUUUUGCGCAAUGGGGGAAACCCUGACGCAGCAACGCCGCGUGGAGGAUGAAAUCCUUGGGAUGUAAACUCCUUUCGAUCGGGAAGAUAAUGACGGUACCG